UACAGAGGUGGCAAGCGUUGUUCGGAAUUACUGGGCGUAAAGGGCCAGUAGGCGGCCAACUAAGUCGGAUGUGAAAUCCCCAGGCUCAACUUGGGAACUGCAUCCGAUACUGGAUGGCUUGAAUUCGGGAGAGGGAUGCAGAAUUCCAGGUGUAGCGGUGAAAUGCGUAGAUAUCUGGAGGAAUACCGGUGGCGAAGGCGGCGAUCCUGGACCGACAUUGACGCUGAACGGCGAAAGCUAGGGGAGCAAACGGG
rnacentral:rRNA from 1 species